UCCUAGCCCCGAUAGGAAUGGUUACCCCACAGCUUGUGUUGGAGGGUGAAUGGGUUUGAGUGUGGGAAAGCACAGGCGCGAGGAGUAUGAAUGGAUAGCGGGAAACAGC
rnacentral:misc_RNA from 1 species